rnacentral:rRNA from 1 species
UGCAGUCGAACGGCAGCACGGACUUCGGUCUGGUGGCGAGUGGCGAACGGGUGAGUAAUAUAUCGGAACGUACCCUGGAGUGGGGGAUAACGCAGCGAAAGUUGCGCUAAUACCGCAUACGAUCUACGGAUGAAAGUGGGGGCUCGCAAGACCUCAUGCUCGUGGAGCGGCCGAUAUCUGAUUAGCUAGUUGGUAGGGUAAGAGCCUACCAAGGCAUCGAUCAGUAGCUGGUCUGAGAGGACGACCAGCCACACUGGGACUGAGACACGGCCCAGACUCCUACGGGAGGCAGCAGUGGGGAAUUUUGGACAAUGGGGGCAACCCUGAUCCAGCAAUGCCGCGUGAGUGAAGAAGGCCUUCGGGUUGUAAAGCUCUUUUGUCAGGGAAGAAACGGUGAAGGCUAAUAUCCUUUGCUAAUGACGGUACCUGAAGAAUAAGCACCGGCUAACUACGUGCCAGCA